CACCUUAGGUGCAGACAGAGAAGACAGACAGGGGUUAGGGCACCAGGCUUAAAUGAGCCUUAACCAGGAGCCUUUGUAUUCCUUGUAUUACAUAGAGUACAGUGUUCUCAGAAAUACAUUGAUACUCUUUUACAGUAUGCAGAUGAAAAAAACAUUCGAAGGAUGGGUUGAGAUGGGUAGAAAAUAGUAUUUGAAAUAAGUAUUUGAAUAUACUGUCAAAUACAAUUUGGCAGACUAUUCAUUUUUAAAAACAAAUAACCAUAUAAAUACUCAAAUAAAAGUAGUUGUUUUGGGCUAUGUAUUUGAAAAUACUCAAAUACACAGAAAAAGUAUUUUAAAUACUAGAUACUCAAGUACACAUGUAUUUGAACCAAAGUCUGGUUGAACCAGGGUCUUUAUUGUGUGUCUCAUGUGCUGUGCCUGUUUUGUGUGCUGUCUGUCUCAUGUGUCGUGUUUGUCUCAUGUUCUUUGGGUAUGUACAGUAUUACUGAUGUGUUGAAGGGUUAAGACCACAGACUUUCACCCUGGGAGCAAUAAGUCCUAGCUGCACCUUUAACCUCGGCACAGGGAGCCUCAGCUAGGGCCCCAUUAGUAACUAAUGAGCCUGAAGAGAGUGAAUGAGCACCCAGUCAAUAAAAGUACUUGUCCUCCUUUUCAAUUUAGUGUACAUGAGUUCUUUCAAACAGGUGAACAAGUGAACUGUGGCAAAAGGAUCUUGACAGGCUAGACUACGGAAAGUUUAGAAUUUGUUGAAUUAUUCAGUGGUUGAGUAAGCUUCAUUGUGAUGAUGAUGAUAAUGGUGGUGAUAAUGCUUAUGAUUAUUAUUAUGAUAAUGAUACAUGAAAUCUGAAUGAAAAGAUGGAGAUGACAUGAUCAUGAGCAGCAGGUGAAUCCAUAAGUAUGUUUUUUUUUAGGGUCAUCUCCUCAAAACAAGGUACAAUAAUGAUCAGAGCCCAGUUCUGAAAACCUUAUGCUAACAUGAACACGGCUUACAUUUUUUUGUUUUCUUGAAAAGAGAGCCUUCUACAUACUUUAUAUACAGCUUCAGCAGAAAUGCCUAAGAAUUCACAAAUUCCAGCUAGAUUAUUUGUGCUUGUUUGUAAAUAGAAGUACUUAUUCAUCAACUGUUUCCUGCCUCAUGUCGGUCUUCCUAAAUAUCUGAAUGAAUCAUGUAAUGUGACCAGUGUGAUUGAAGAGAGCUGCUUGCCUUGUUUAAUUAGACCUUGAACAGCAGCAGGGUUAUACCAGGGUUAUACCAUAUACUAUAGACUAAAUGGUAACACUUUACUUUGAUAGACCCAAAUAGAUGGUUUCCAACUAUCCCCUUACCCUAACCCUAACCCUUAUCCUAAAUGCAACCCUAACCUUAACUCUUACCCUAAUCUUACUCUAACCCAAACUGUAACCCAGCUAGUUGUUGUAUCAAAAAGGUAGCAGUUAAUCGUUUGUUGAUAGCUUAAGAAUCUGUAGACCAUCUAUAGGGGAGUAUCCAAAUAAAGAGAAACAGAUUUCAUAAAUGAAGUGCUGUAGGUUUAUUAUUACAAAACCUUGAAGUGUUGAGGUAAAUCAAGGGCACUGCAAUGGGAAAGUGUUGGUUGGUUGGUGGAUGGAGUCAAUGAAUGGUAGUAAUGAAUGGUAGUAGUAAUUGCAUCAAUGUGUUGAAAUACUGGCAUGUAUGUACAGCAUGUAAAGCCUGGAUGGAGUAAACAUGUUUUCCUCCACCUUGAAUUUCAAUUUACAGAAUGAUUGAGUCUUUACACUUGAGGAAGGUGGGCUAUGCUAUGCAUUUUCAUACUAUAUGACAUGGUGAACACUCACACACACACACAUGCACAUAUAUAUACUCACACACACAAACAUGAAAAAGAAGUUUUAUAAAGUAAAAACUAGACCAUAAUUGAUCAUCUGAUACAUUUCAAUUUGGCAUCAAUUUCAAAUGUAAAUUCGAUUGAAAAUAAAAUAAUACAAAAAAACAUAUAUAGUUGUCAAAAGUGACCCAUAUAGCAUUAUAAAUUAAGUAACACAAAUCAUUUUGGCCACGUCAAUUUUAGGGUUGUCAUCACAAGAUGACUGGUUGGACCGUGGACCCCUACUGUGCAGCCAGCGGCUUAUGUUGCAUCAAAGUAACUGGGGUUACGUCCUUAACAGCACUCUAUUUACUAUUUAGUGCACUACUUUUGACCAGGGCACAGAUGGCUCUGGUCAAAAGUAGUGCAUGCUAUAGUGAAUAGGUGCCAUUUGGGAUGCAAUCUGGGUAUUAAAUCCUGGCGACAGCAAGAUGAGACGGCAUUAUGAAACUUAGACAUCAGAAAAAAUACAUAAAGACUAUUUUCCCACAGUGCCAUGACUCUCAUUUCAUCAAUGUCUUCUUAUGAUGGUUCUUGGAAAUGCUUAGAUAAUGUUUACUGGACCCACAGGGUACUUGAAGCCUGCCAGACUAAAGUGAUUGAAGCAACUGUGUUGCUAAGCCCCUGCUUCCUAACGCUUGGGGGGACAAGGUUGUAUUGUAUAAUCAAAUCAAAUAAAGCUAUACAGCACAUUUAAAACAUGGAAUGUAACACAAUGUGCCUCACAGGGAAAAAUGUUUUUAAACUAUUUAAAUAAAAACUGAAAUAUUUACUACACAACAAACAUGAGAGGAUAAAAAACUAAAGAAUAACAAUACAACCUGAACAACUAAAAAGCACCCUAAGGAAAAGCAAAGAUAAAAAGGUGUGUUUUAAGAGCCGUGGUAGUACAUUGGCUGGAUGGUAUGCACAUAGUUAGUUGUUUUUCACUUAAUGAUUGGCUGGAUUAAAGUCAUGUAUAAAUCCUUGCUUCAAAUCAAUGUCUGUGCUUGUGAAUGACAUGGUAUUAAGGUCCUGUACUGUAAGAGGUGUGCACACACAUGACCUUGUGGACUACAGCGGUAGCCUGAAACAAUGACUAACACUUCCUCGAUGUCCAAAUCACUAAAGACUUAAAAUGGUCCAAACACGCGGACAGUCGCGAAGAAGGUGCGACAGCGCCUCUUCCCCCUCAGGAGGUUAAAAAAGUUUGGUAUUAGCCCUCAAAUCCUCAAAAGGUUCUACAGCUGUACCAUUGAGAGCAUUUUGACUGGCUGCAUCACUGCCUUAUGGAAAUAGCGCAGACUUCGAUCGCAUGGCGCUACAGAGGGUGGUGCGGACAGCCCAGUACAUCAAUGGGGCCGAGCUCCCUGCCAUCCAGGACAUCUAUAUCCAAAAGGCCCAGACAAUCGUUAAAGACUCCAACCAACCACCCAAGCCAUAGGCUAUUCUCUCUGCUUCCGCACGGCAAGCGGUACUGGUGGAUCAAGUCUGGCACCAACUGGCUAUUGAACAGCUUCUAUCCCCAAGCAAUAAGACAGACAAAUGACUAACAAAAUAGCUACAUGGACUAUCUGAGUUAACCUUGCAUCCUUAUUUACCUUUUGAUUUUUGUACUGUAUGCACACUCACAGGGCCCUACACGCACACACGCACUGUCACGUUCUGACCUUAGUUCCUUUUUUUAUGGCUUUAUUUUAGUUGGUCAGGGCGUGAGUUGGGGUGGGCAUUCUAUGUUUUGUUCUGUUGUUAUAUUUCUAUGUGUUUGGCCUAGUAUGGUUCUCAAUCAGAGGCAGGUGUCAGUCGUUGUCUCUGAUUGGGAGCCAUAUUUAGGUAGCCUGUUUUCUAUUGUGUUUUGUGGGUGAUUGUUUCCUGUGUUCGUGUUUGCACCAUACGGUACUGUUUCGGUUUUCAUUUAUUCUCUUGUUCUUUUGUAUUUUGUAUUCAUUCUCGAUUAAAUAAUAUUAUGGAUACGUACCACGCUGCACAUUGGUGCGAUAUUUCAUACUCCUCGUCUGAAGAGGAGGAAAGCCAUUACACGCACACCCACUCACAUACAAGCUGCUGCUACUCUGUUUAUCUUAUAUCCUGAUGCCUAGUCACCUUACCCCUAUACAUAUCUACCUCCAUCACUCCAGUAUCCGUGCACUUUGUAAAUAUGGUUUUAGAACUGACCCUGUAUAUAGUAUGCUUACUUACUUAUUGUGUUAUUCACAUUUCUCGUUUAUAUUUUAUUUUAUUUUAGUAUUACAUUAUUAUUGAUUAUAGCAUUGUUGUAUUUUGAGUUUGCAAGAAAGGCAUUUCACUGUUCUUGUGCAUGUGACAUUAAAACUUGAAACUUUAACAGAUGUGAAAAAUGAUCAGUAUGGCAACCUGAGGGGAAAAGCGUAUGUAUUUUCUUUUGUAUUAUAUUGGAAAAUCUCAGGAUAUUGCAUUCAUAGAUACAACUAUUGUUAUGCCUCUGGUGUGAUAACACACUGAAACAAAGACCUUGAGCCAGUACAAAAAAGAUUCCCUUGCCUAACAUUUGUUCAUCCAGAAUUGCUCAAAUUUGCAUGUACCCAGAAUAUCGUCUGAUAUGGAAUCAUGUGUGAACAUGUAAGUUGUGACACACUGUCAGGAUGAGUGCAGCCAUAAAUAAUGGAGAAAGCUGUUAUUACUGCACUAUAAAAUUGUUAAAAGUUUAAAGGCCGAUUUUCAAUGAUGAUAUCAUCAACAAUAUUUAGAAUGAAAAUAACUGAUUCAAAGGCUAGUGUUAUAAAACUGUUUUAUAAAAUAAUUUUGUAAUGUAUCAUUAUAACAGGGUUAUAUUGGUGAUUCCCCUUGCCACUUUAUUGUUAAGCCAAUUGGUUUUUGGUUUUAGUUUUGUCUUGCCUUCACCUACUCUACAUGGCAUCUUAUUGGCUGGUUUGCGUAGCUUGCUUACGAGGGAGGAUGUUUCAGUUAGAAUCGUCCCAGUGAACAAGCACCAAACCAGCGGGAAUUGAACUUCACUUAAUGUGCUUCUGGAGUUCCAUAAGAUGUGGAUUUCCAUACAUAGAGUUCCAUAAGACCUUGUCUUUGAGGGAUGAUAUGCUGCUUUUAUGCCUUUGGUGAAUUCCUGCAAAAUUACCACCAGAAGGACUGUCCUGUUAAAUACUGACUUGACACAUCUGAGGAGAAUACUGCCAAUGUUUCCUUCAGAUGCCCAGAAACAGUCUACUACCUUGGAUGCUCAAUUCCUGCUGCUUAUCCAUUUUCUCUCAUCAAUUUCAGCUUGGUUUCUCAAAUCCUACUAUCUUGGUUCCUGCUUAACUUUCUAAGUUGCUAAUCAAUGCUUGCUGUAUGCACAUUUAAAACAAUUUAGAAUAACCUUUAAAACAUACCCCAUAAUUAUAUCGUCACCAUCUACAUAGUAGUCAUUUCACAUCUUAAAAGUAUUUGAAAAGAAAAGUAUUUGAAAACUCACAGUGCAAAUAACAUUUAUAAAAGUCCUAUCCCAAAAAUAUGGCUGCCAUCCACCACUAAGGUGGGUCCUAUAUACAGUAUAGGUAGAAUAGCUGAGGUAAGACAUAAAUUACCUCAAUACAAUAUCUGAGAUCUGGAGAAAAAAAAUACAAAAUGAAUACAAUUUUUUUUAUUUGCAUAUAUUCCUCAAAUAUACAAUACUUACGUAUGGACUGUUUAAUUGGGCACUGAAAAUAUAUCAAAAGUACUAUGUAUCAUGUUUUCAAAUUAGCAAGAUGUCAUGUGUGCAUCUCUAGCUCAACUAUGCCACUUCCCUUGUACUCAUGAUUUGCAGUUGGAUUAAGAAUGGAAUCUGGGUUCAGAGGGCACUGUUCAGGAGUUUGCUGCUUCUGGUUGAGGGCCUUGUUGGUUUCUGGGCGGCAUAGCUGUUUUAGGCUCUGUGAAAGCAGGUCGUCGAUAAAAACAGAAAUCCAAUAACAUGCAUUUCACAGUUCUGAUCAAAGAAGAGUAAUAAAUCCAAACAAUCUAAAUUACAUUUCUGUGAUUUUGCAAAAUGUUCGUUUUUGGUAAGCCCAAAGUCAUUACUGAAGUAUAAAUCCCUAUUUCUAUGGUUCUACGUUAUUAGGUUGUAAUCUUUGUAAAUAGUUUACCAAGCAAUGUAUGCCGUGGGCACAGGAAGAUGGCAUUUCCUCACCGCUUUCGUAUUCUCAUGAAUAUUGUAUCUAAGCAUUGUAUCAACUACCACCAUUGACAGUAGUCUUACCUGCCAGACUGUCAAUUUGGACCGAUAGACCUUCCAGAUCAUCCACAGAGGCACCAGAGCCACACAGGCGAGCCCCAGGAACCACCCCAAUGCAUAUGCCCAGUCAGGGUACAAAUAGGUUUUGUUGAACUUUAGGGGCUUGUAUUGUACCAAGGAAAAUAUGAAUGUACCC